rnacentral:rRNA from 1 species
AACGAACGCUGGCGGCGUGUUUAAGACAUGCAAGUCGCACGGGAUAAGACAUGUAGUAAUACUUGUUUUAUUUAGUGGCGCACGGGUGAGUAACACGUGAAUUACAUGCCCUAUAGUGGGGAAUAGCCCAGGGAAACUUGGAUUAAUACCCCAUGGUAUCGAAAGAUUAAAGGUGGCCGCAAGGCUGUCGCUAUAGGAUUGGUUCGCGCCCUAUCAGCUUGAUGGUGAGGUAACGGCUCACCAAGGCAAUGACGGGUACCUGGUCUGAGAGGACGAUCAGGCACACUGGAACUGAGACACGGUCCAGACACCUACGGGUGGCAGCAGUCGAGAAUAAUUCACAAUGGGGGCAACCCUGACGGUGCAACGCCGCGUGGAGGAUGACGGUCUUCGGAUUGUAAACUCCUGUCAUCUGGGAGAAAGACCUGACGGUAAAUAGCCGGCAGGGUUAAUAGUACCAGAAGAGGAAGGGACGGCUAACUUCGUGCCAGCAGCCGCGGUAA